AUGGUAAGCGUGCGAGCCCUAGAGCGUAUCGAGGCAUUAUCGGAUCAUGCACCCAUCAUUCUGGAUUCUAACUCUACGAACCCAGCAGCCCGUCGCCCUUUCAAAUUUGAAUUGGGAUGGCUGCAUCGGGAGAAUGUUUGGGAGAGGCCCGCCAUUGGUCGCACACCUAUUUUGAGAUGGAACUUUAAAAUAAGGGCCAUAAGGCAACACCUCACUGGAUGGGCGAAACACACCAACAGGAUAUAUAAAAAGGAAAAACAACGGCUCUCUACCAUUAUUGACGACCUCGACAAGAUUGCAGAGACACGCACCUUAUCUCAACAAGAUAUUGAAUUAAAAAAUCAAUCUAAUGAGAAGGUCGCCUGUCUUUUGCGAGAAGAGGAGAUCAAAUACUAA
rnacentral:rRNA from 1 species